rnacentral:rRNA from 1 species
AGGGUUUGAUCAUGGCUCAGAACGUACGCUGGCGGCACGCCUAACACAUGCAAGUCGAACGAAGUAGCAAUACUUAGUGGCAGACGGGUGAGUAACAUGUGGGAAUCUGCCUUGUGGUUCAGGACAACAUUGGGAAACCGAUGCUAAUACUGGAUAAGCCCUUACGGGGAAAGUUUUAAUGCCAUAAGAUGAGCCCGCAUUUGAUUAGUUAGUUGGUGAGGUAAUGGCUCACCAAGACAAUGAUCAAUAGCUGAUCUGAGAGGAUGAUCAGCCACACUGGGACUGAGACACGGCCCAGACUCCUACGGGAGGCAGCAGUGGGGAAUCUUGCACAAUGGAGGAAACUCUGAUGCAGCGAUGCCGCGUGAGUGAAGAAGGCCUUUGGGUUGUAAAGCUCUUUUGUAGGGGAAGAUAAUGACUGUACCCUAAGAAUAAGGUCCGGCUAACUUCGUGCCAGCAGCCGCGGUAAUACGAAGGGACCUAGCGUAGUUCGGAAUUACUGGGCGUAAAGCGCGCGUAGGCCGUUGAGUUAGUUAAUUGUGAAAUCCCAAAGCUUAACUUUGGAACUGCAAUUAAAACUGCUCGACUAGAGUUUGAUAGAGGAAAGCGGAAUACAUAGUGUAGAGGUGAAAUUCGUAGAUAUUAUGUAGAACACCAGUUGCGAAGGCGGCUUUCUGGAUCAACACUGACGCUGAGGCGCGAAAGUAUGGGUAGCAAAGAGGAUUAGAUACCCUCGUAGUCCAUACCAUAAACGAUGAUUGCUAGAUGUUGGAAAUUUAUUUUCAGUAUCGCAGCUAACGCAUUAAGCAAUCCGCCUGGGGAGUACGACCGCAAGGUUAAAACUCAAAUGAAUUGACGGGGACCCGCACAAGCGGUGGAGCAUGUGGUUUAAUUCGAAGAUACGCGCAGAACCUUACCAACCCUUGACAUGUCUGUCGCGAGUUUAGGAAACUAGACUUUUCGGUUCGGCCGGACAGAACACAGGUGCUGCAUGGCUGUCGUCAGCUCGUGUCGUGAGAUGUUGGGUUAAGUCCCGCAACGAGCGCAACCCUUGCCAUUAAUUGCCAUCAUUUAGUUGGGCACUUUAAUGGGACUGCCGGUGACAAACCGGAGGAAGGUGGGGAUGACGUCAAGUCCUCAUGGCCCUUAUGGCCAGGGCUUCACACGUAAUACAAUGGUCGGUACAGAGGGAAGCCAACCCGCGAGGGGGAGCCAAUCUCAGAAAGCCGGUCGUAGUCCGGAUUGUUGUCUGCAACUCGACAGCAUGAAGUCGGAAUCGCUAGUAAUCGCGGAUCAGCAUGUCGCGGUGAAUACGUUCCCGGGCCUUGUACACACCGCCCGUCACACCAUGGGAGUGGGUUUUACCAGAAGUAGUUAGUCUAUCCGCAAGGGGGACGAUUACCACGGUAGGAUUCAUGACUGGGGUGAAGUCGUAACAAGGUAACCGUA